rnacentral:tRNA from 1 species
GCCUGGGUGGCGAAAUUGGUAG